rnacentral:lncRNA from 1 species
AAAAGUUUAUGUCUUUUUGAUGUGAUUCUGUUCAUAGCUUCGCUUCGCUUUCUCUUCUCUUCUUGGCUUAUAUAUAUAUACUCUUGAGGAAUUGUAUUCAAUCUUAAAGGUGUUCUUUUUUUACCUGUGAAUCUCUCUCUUUACCAUUACAGUCCAAGUUGUAUUUUUCUCAUAUGAAAUGAAAGUAAAACUCAGCGUAGCGUUAUGGUUUGUUUUAGUAUGUCAUGUCAUUACCUAAAUUCCCUUCUUGUUUAUGUUGGUUGUUACACCAAAAUAAUGUAUUGUGAAAUGUGUGUGGGUAGAUGCAAAACUAUUUGAGGAAGAAAGAACUGAAAGCUCAACGGGAGAAGGAUCUUCGUGAAGGGCUUCAGUUUUCCAAGUUAAAAAUGCUCAAGUUCUCUUGUGAGCUUGCACUUGGAAAGUGAAUCUUGACUUGUAAUCUCUAAUUGAUGUAGGAAUGGUAAGUAUGAGGAAGCACUGGAGAGGUUUGAGUCUGUGUUAGGCUCUAAACCAACACCAGAUGAAGCAUCAGUUGCAAGUUACAAUGUUGCUUGUUGCUACUCUAAACUUAAUCAGGUAACAAAUACUAUCUUUUUUAUCUUUCAGAUAUUAUUGCAUUUUGAGUUUUCAGAGUUCAUAAGAGUUCCUUUGAUAGGUUCAGGCUGGUCUCUCUGCUCUGGAAGAAGCAUUGAAGUCAGGAUAUGAAGAUUUCAAGGUAAUCUCGAUGGCUUGUCAUGUUUCCCUAAAAGAGAUGGUGUUGUUUGUUAAAGCUGAUGAGGGAUUUGUUUUGUUUGCAGAGAAUCCGAAGCGAUCCAGAUCUGGAAAACAUCAGGAAGUCAGAAGCUUUCGAUCCACUCAUGAAGCAAUUUGAUGAAUCUUUCAUCAACGAGAGUGCCAUUAACGCCAUCAAAUCCUUGUUUGGCUUUAACAAGAAAUAGUUCACCACCGAAAGACUUAAAAGUUUAUGUCUUUUUGAUGUGAUUCUGUUCAUAGCUUCGCUUCGCUUUCUCUUCUCUUCUUGGCUUAUAUAUAUAUACUCUUGAGGAAUUGUAUUCAAUCUUAAAGGUGUUCUUUUUUUACCUGUGAAUCUCUCUCUUUACCAUUACAGUCCAAGUUGUAUUUUUCUCAUAUGAAAUGAAAGUAAAACUCAGCGUAGCGUUAUGGUUUGUUUUAGUA